GCCGGCGACCAUACCACGUUGAAAGCACCGGUUCUCGUCCGAUCACCGCAGUUAAGCAACGUUGGACCCAGCCAGUACUUGCAUGGGUGACCGGCUGGGAAUACCGGGUGUCGCCGGCU
rfam:Schistosoma mansoni, Puerto Rico, WGS project CABG01000000 data, contig: 0201